UUGAGAAUACAACACCGUAUCACUCUCGUGAUUAUUUCUCCCCUGUUUUCAGGUACUUUAUUGAUGAUAAAAAUAGUAAUUUAAAUGUUAUAACUCGCUAACAUGUCAAGAGUGUUUAAGGUGUGUCUUAGUAACGUCUUGAGGAAGUUAGAGUUAAGUUUGAAGAGAGUAAUAUUAGCCCUGCUCGGUUGAAGUGAAGAAUAGCAUCGUACUGAGAGUAGCUGUCAUCUUAUGUCGAUUGUGAAUGAACAUGUGCAUUGUUAAUAAGAUAUUUUGCUGUGUUAUUUGUAUAAUGGGUUUUCUGUUGUUUUGUAAUGUGUUACUUUUGUGAAAUGAUAACACUAAAUGUUGAAUUGAGAAUACAACACCGUAUCACUCUCGUGAUUAUUUCUCCCCUGUUUUCAGGGGCGUAACGGUAACAUGGACAAUACAGUUGUAUAGGGAGGAGCCACGAAGACCCUGUUCAAACUAUACAUAAGAUUACAGGAUACAUAUUUUAGUUAGUUAGUUGGUCAACAUACAGUAGAUUCAUGAUGAUGUUACUUGGUUUGAUCUGGAUGUUCUCUACAUUUUGUACAGAAUUAAUUGCUGGGGAGCACAUUACUGCUGUACAACAUGAAGUCAUCAGUACAGAGGGAAAACCUGUGAUUCUGAGAUGCUCAUAUGAUGCAAGCUGGAAUUAUCCUCUGCUUUACUGGUACAGGCAUACUGAUUACCAGGCUCCUCACUUUCUACUGUAUAAAGGUGCCAGAUCAAGCACGAGCGAACAUAUCCCUGAUAAGAGAUAUACAUCCAAAACAUCUCAGACUACAACUGAACUGAUCAUAACACAUCUAACCCUGGCAGACACAGCUCUCUACUACUGUGCUCUCAGAGACUGUUAUUAUGAUUGUUAUACCCAGUGAUAGAAUGUGUAUAAGACGCUGUACAAAACCUGCAGAUCAAAAAUGCUUUGAUGAACCGAGGAUCAAAUUUGAACAUCAAACCACAAUUUGAUAUUAUAAUGGUAGAGGUUGAGAUCAGAGAACUGUGGUCACACCUGUGCUUUGUGCAAUCACAAGGUGGUCUGGUGUUUCUCUGUCUUUCUAAUCAAUGCACUGUGAGAAAUAUGAAUUCUUCACUCUUCAAUCAGUAGUCUUCAAUUACAAUUUUUUAAGUGGUUGGAAAAGCACUUGGGAAUUUGACAGUGUAACAAUGUUGUUUCUUAUUGUUGGCUCUCCUCACAAUUCACACAGGGUAGCAGAGUUAAGCUCUCCGGUAACUAUACAGUAAAGGUGAAUUAUCUCCAGAAAGUACCCUGGGUGAGCAUCCCAAUUCCUCCUCCUCACAGACACUGCAAAUCUACGUGUAGUGGAAGCUACUCAUCCAUACCCAAGAAUGACUGCUAAACUGAUCAAUGAGAGAAUCUGUGUGGAUCUGGAGCUCCAUACAGGUUGCUGUAGUGACAGUCACCACUGUGCCCUGGAGUCCACAGUGACAGGAAACCUGCCAACACUGCUCAAAAAAUUGCUAUCUAUUCAAGAGGAGGAGCUAAGCUAAGCAGACCACAUGGGGAUAUCAUUUAGUCUGUCACAGGGGAGUGGUAUCUCAGUGUUACUGAGAGAGCUGCUGAACUUCAACCAUCAUAUUCCCCUAUCCACUUUUAUUAAUUUCUGCACUUGUUGGUGAGUUCUCGCAACAUUCAUUAUAGCCACUGUUUAAUCAAGGUUCAAAGUUAAAGAGUAACACUAUGGGGCGGCAGGUAGCUUAGUGCUUAGAGCGUUGGGCCAGUAACUGAAAGGUUGCUGGAUCGAGUCCCUGAGCUGACAAGGUAAAAAUCUGUUGUUCUGCCUCUGGUCAAGGCAGUUAACCCACUGUUCCCCGGGAGGCUGUUAUUGUAAAUAAGAAUUUGUUCUUGACAAGAAAAAGGUCCAAUUCACACACAUCCCUGAUCAUGCCUCUGAUCUGGCAGACUCACCCAACACAAAUGCUUUGUUUGUACAUUACAUUGGAGUGUGCCCCUGGCUAACUGUAAUUUAUAAUAAUUGUGCUGUUUGCUUAAUAUAAGUAAUCUGAAAUUAUGUAUAUAUUUUUUUACUUUUGAUACUUAAAGUAUAUAUUACAAAUAAAUACUUUUUGACUUUUA